rnacentral:rRNA from 1 species
GACGAACGCUGGCGGCGUGCUUAACACAUGCAAGUCGAACGGGGUCCUGGUUGGUGGCAACACCUUCCAGUACCUAGUGGCGAACGGGUGAGGAACACGUGAGCAACCCACCCCGAACUCUGGGAUAACAGCGGGAAACCGCUGCUAAUACCGGAUACCUUCCUGCGGUCGCAUGGCCGCGCGAAGAAAGGGUUACUGGUUCGGGACGGGCUCGCGGCCUAUCAGCUUGUUGGUAGGGUAACGGCCUACCAAGGCAACGACGGGUAGCCGGCCUUAGAGGGUGGUCGGCCGCACUGGGACUGAGACACUGCCCAGACUCCUACGGGAGGCUGCAGUCGAGAAUCUUCCGCAAUGGGCGAAAGCCUGACGGAGCGACGCCGCGUGGAGGACGAAGGCCUUCGGGUUGUAAACUCCUGUCACGAGUUAAGAAGGAUUCAGUACGAACAGUGCUGAGUUUUGACGUAAGCUCGAGAGGAAGCACUGGCUAACUCUGUGCCAGCAGCCGCCGUAACAC